rnacentral:rRNA from 1 species
GACGAACGCUGGCGGCGCGCUUAACACAUGCAAGUCGAACGGAAAGGCCUGCUUUCCCUUGUGGAUUGCGGGUACUCGAGUGGCGAACGGGUGAGUAACACGUGAGUGAUCUGCCCCCAACUUGGGUAUAAGCCUGGGAAACUGGGUCUAAUUCCCGAUAGGACUGCAGGGUGGUGCCUGUGGUGGAAAACGAUUUUCUAGUGGUUGGGGAUGAGCUCGCGGCCUAUCAGCUUGUUGGUGGGGUAAUGGCCUACCAAGGCGGCGACGGGUAGCCGGCCUGGGAGGGUGGACGGCCACAUUGGGACUGGGUUACGGCCCAGACUCCUACGGGAGGCAGCAGUUGGGAAUAUUGCACAAUGGGCGGAAGCCUGAUGCAGCGACGCCGCGUGGGGGAUGACGGCCUUCGGGUUGUAAACUCCUUUCGACCGCGAGGAAGCCACCUGGUUGGAAGGGUGGUGACGGUAGUGGUAGAAGAAGCACCGGCUAACUACGUG